rnacentral:rRNA from 1 species
GUGGGGAAUAUUGGACAAUGGGCGAAAGCCUGAUCCAGCCAUGCCGCGUGUGUGAAGAAGGUCUUCGGAUUGUAAAGCACUUUAAGUUGGGAGGAAGGGCAGUAAGUUAAUACCUUGCUGUUUUGACGUUACCGACAGAAUAAGCACCGGCUAACUUCGUGCCAGCAGCCGCGGUAAUACGAAGGGUGCAAGCGUUAAUCGGAAUUACUGGGCGUAAAGCGCGCGUAGGUGGUUUUGUAAGUUGGAGGUGAAAUCCCCGGGCUCAACCUGGGAACUGCCUCCAAAACUGCAUGACUAGAGUACGGUAGAGGGUAGUAGAAUUUCCUGUGUAGCGGUGAAAUGCGUAGAUAUAGGAAGGAACACCAGUGGCGAAGGCGACUACCUGGACUGAUACUGACACUGAGGUGCGAAAGCAUGGGGAGCAAACAGGAUUAGAAACCCUGGUAGUCC